rnacentral:lncRNA from 1 species
GGCCCAAGGAUGUGCCACCUGAUUCAGUUGCAACCAUAUGAAUAUCAGAGCUCAUACCUGACUGGAGGUACCCAAUGCAAGAUGCCAUCUCUCAUAUCUACUGUACAAGUCAUGGUAAGCUCCAAAAGAAGUCACAACACGCACUGCAUGUUCAUGUCAAGUCCCUUUAAAUAUGACUGCAACUCCUCCAGAGAUGUCUAUAUUUCCCUGGGGAUGAGGAUAUCUUUAGGGUUGGGCCAAGUAUAUCUCCUGGCAGGAGGUAGCCACAUUGUGAGUAGCUCCACACUUACAUUGCAGUGACUGGCUGUUGCUGCUGCUCCUGCAGUACUAAGAAGAAUGCCACCAGCCUUCAUGUCCUGCAGGCACACACUGUUUUUGCUUAAACUUGGUUCUCAGUUCCACUGACUCUAGAGGAGUGGAGAGGUGCAUUAGGGGGAUGCAGGCAGCUGGGAGAAGGCAGAUCGUUUGAGUCCUUAUCUUCAAGGGAUCUCUACAUUAGGCUUUUGGUGUCUUGGUAGUCUGCUGUAGAAUCAUGCUUGUGAACAUUCACGUGCCAGGUCAAGCUUCUUGGCUGAUGUGUCUUUGUCGUUGACUUGUGCCACUCUGGCUUUUCUUUCUAACUUGAGUUCUUCCUGUGACCUUCCCACGAACCAACUAUUACUCCCACGCUGAUGGCUUCGUUGAGCUGGCCUUAUUGUCAUCACAGGCAGCAGUGACUACACAGGGUUCCUUUUGCUUUCCCACGAAUGAGUUGCUUGUUGCCUUCAACUUGGCUAGCAAUCGCUCUUGUCCUUUUGAGGUAUCUAUGUACUCACAAGAGUGCUUCCCACAUAAUGGGGCCACAUCAAAUUAUUUAGGUGGCUGAGGCCUAUCUGGGAUUUCCCUGGCAGGACCUAAGUCCACAUCCUGAAUCUGCUCACCCGGGUUCCCCCUUGCCUGCUGAUAAGGACAAUGUUAUGAAAACUCUCAGAAGGAAGGCCUGAGAGGCCUUGAGGGUGACAACUGUGUCAAGAUACCAAAGAAAAAGUGACUCAAUGGGAGUCUGGACAUCUUCUAUUUUCAAGAAAUCCUUGGUACCAUCAGGUCAGAGAACAAGGAUUGCGGCAUGCUUACAAGCAGAAUAGCAUUUAUACACAGAAGGGAGGAAGGGAAAUUGGAACCUAGUGCUCAGUGCUGC